GCUACCACAUAUUUCGGCUCCUUUGAUGGGCUUUCAUCUAUAAAUUACCCUCCAUGCAUGGUGAUUCUCUCAACUCAGCACUAUCCAAAGAAACAGUCGUCCACUCCUCACUUGAAAGGAAAAACAGCGACGGAAAGAAUGGCUAACUGUGAUAACAAAUCUGUCGCUUUUCUUAACUUGGUUCUUGUGCUGUCUCUUCUUCUCCCGAUCUCCAUCACAGAAUGCAGACAACUCCGCAGUGGGAUUGGACAGGAGAGUGUUGCUAUAUAUUGAAUGCAACUCAGUCUACGGUGCAGAAGAUGGCGAUACUUGCACUGGCAUUAUUCAAAAGUUCGGUCUGAAUGAUGAGUUCUUUAGUACCAUAAACCCUAAUCUCAGCUACGAGAAAAUCUUUCUUGGCCAAUGGCUUUGCAUCAAUGGGACAGUGAAUUGAGUUUCCGGUUAAGCUCCAUCGCCUUCUUAUUUGUCAUUUACUAAGAGUCACAAAAAGUCUGUUUGCCAUGUUCAGAAUUUAGUGCAUUUCGAUAUAAA